GGGGAGAGAAGCAGCAGAGUCACUUCACCGACCAGACGCCGCGGCCACCGCUGACGCCGCCGCCAUUUUAAUAGAGCGUUCGGGCUGCGCUCGGCUUUUUCCGCCCGAGCGAAGGAGCCGACGAGAAACGCCUCGCGCUCUCAUUCCUCCGCCUCCCUGCCUCUCUUCGCCUCCCGCCCUCCCACCUUUCCCUCCGCACACACGCCGCACGCUCCACACCCCGCCGCGGCCGGCUCACCGCCCUCCCUUUCCUCUUCCGUCCGGCCUCCCCGCCCUCGGUCCACCCCCUCGGCGCGCUCGCCCACCCCGCCCAGCCCGGAUCUCUGUCAGCGGCCGGAAGGGAAACACGAAGCCAGCGCGGCUGCGGGGGGAGUCCGGGUGGCAGCUAGAGAUUUUGAAUUCCAGAAGGAAAGCCCCAAGGAAUAUUUGCUACUGGUUUAAAACAAUCAUAGUAGGGGUGAACCUGUGUUUGAGUCCUUGCCAGUGAAAUGUGACCAGAAAUCUGCAGAGUGGAUCUUUUGGAAAGAAUUGCCCAUUACUAAAAAAGGGGGACAAAUUCAGUAGUCAUUACCCUUAACCCUUCUUUCUGUCUGAAACAUAGUUUUGAUUUACAAAGUAA